AAAAGGAUAGAGGGUUAAAUUAAAAGGUCGGAAUAUAUUAUGUCAUAGUUUGUCAACUACAAUUAGAGAAGUAAAUUAGCACAAAAAAAAAGGGAAAAAGAAAGAAGAUCGAGAGGGAGAGGGAAAAGAAUGGUUUUUGGAAGAAAAAUAGCUAAGGGAAAGUUUUAUGUGAACUUUUGAUAACAAAAAUGAAGUGAAAUCUUAAAUU
rnacentral:misc_RNA from 1 species